rnacentral:rRNA from 1 species
GACGAACGCUGGCGGCGUGCUUAACACAUGCAAGUCGAACGGAAAGGCCCUGCUUGCAGGGUACUCGAGUGGCGAACGGGUGAGUAACACGUGGGUGAUCUGCCCUGCACUUCGGGAUAAGCCUGGGAAACUGGGUCUAAUACCGGAUAGGAGCCAUUUUUAGUGUGAUGGUUGGAAAGUUUUUUCGGUGUAGGAUGAGCUCGCGGCCUAUCAGCUUGUUGGUGGGGUAAUGGCCUACCAAGGCGGCGACGGGUAGCCGGCCUGGGAGGGUGGACGGCCGCAUUGGGACUGAGAUGCGGCCCAGACUCCGACGGGAGGAAGCAGUGGGGAAUAUUGCACAAUGGGCGCAAGCCUGAUGCAGCGACGCCGCGUGGGGGAUGACGGCCUUCGGGUUGUAAACGCCUUUCGCUAGGGACGAAGCUUUUUGUGACGUUACCUAGAUAAGAAGCACCGGCUAACUACGUG